UGGGGAAUAUUGCACAAUGGGCGAAAGCCUGAUGCAGCAACGCCGCGUGAGUGAUGAAGGCCUUCGGGUUGNAAAGCUCUGUCUUUUGGGACGAUAAUGACGGUACCAAAGGAGGAAGCCACGGCUAACUACGUGCCAGCAGCCGCGGUAAUACGUAGGUGGCAAGCGUUGUCCGGAUUUACUGGGCGUAAAGGAUGCGUAGGCGGAUUUUUAAGUGAGAUGUGAAAUACCCGGGCUUAACUUGGGUGCUGCAUUUCAAACUGGGAAUCUAGAGUGCGGGAGAGGAGAAUGGAAUUCCAGUGUAGCGGUGAAAGUGCGUAGAGAUUAGGAAGAACACCAGUGGCGAAAGGCGAUUCUCUGGACCGUAA
rnacentral:rRNA from 1 species